UGACGACAAAACCCUGAAACAAUAUGUUGCGCUGUUUACUGAAAAUACUAGAUUGUAAUGGACCUUGGUCUAUGAAUCUCCUGCGUUCUUAUAGAUCUAUGAUACUCUUCCACUGGUGAGAUCCCUGCCUCUUCCCUUUAAGAAGGCUUUUAAAAACACCUACACACUUAAAAAAUCAACAAUGACCAUGAUCAAACAAGCACAGGACAACAAGAGUCCCAGGAAAGCCAAGAGACUUUGUCGACUGCUAUCUGGAUGAGCUGGAUACGAUUCCAUGAAAUGCCAGCACAAUCUUUAGCAGUGGUGGCUCAAUGGUUAAGGCUCUGAGUUACUGCUCAGAAGGUUGGGGGUCUCUACUCUAGAGGUACCGUAUCAUGGCUGACCCUGCAAUCUGACCCCAACUUUCUAUGUAAUUCAGUUAAAUGUUAGUUGUAUAGGGCUUUAACCAAAGCCAUCGUCAAAAAGCAUCUUUACAGACAUCUGGAUGUAGCCUGAGAACCCUAAUGAGUAAACCAAUGGUGAUAGUGGCAAGGAUUCAAAAGGGG
ensembl:lncRNA